UAGGGAAUCUUCGGCAAUGGACGAAAGUCUGACCGAGCAACGCCGCGUGAGUGAAGAAGGUUUUCGGAUCGUAAAACUCUGUUGUUAGAGAAGAACAAGGACGUUAGUAACUGAACGUCCCCUGACGGUAUCUAACCAGAAAGCCACGGCUAACUACGUGCCAGCAGCCGCGGUAAUACGUAGGUGGCAAGCGUUGUCCGGAUUUAUUGGGCGUAAAGCGAGCGCAGGCGGUUUCUUAAGUCUGAUGUGAAAGCCCCCGGCUCAACCGGGGAGGGUCAUUGGAAACUGGGAGACUUGAGUUCAGAAGAGGAGAGUGGAAUUCCAUGUGUAGCGGUGAAAUGCGUAGAUAUAUGGAGGAACACCAGUGGCGAAGGCGGCUCUCUAGUCUGUAACUGACGCUGAGGCUCGAAAGCGUGGGGAGCAAACAGG
rnacentral:rRNA from 1 species